AAAGUCGUAAUCAGUUCUCCUUUUCGCAUGUGUUGCAUUUCCGUGUCCCCGUGCAUGCUAGAGUUUAGUAUGGUACUAAAAUCUUGUUAAAUCUUGAAGAUGGAAGUACUGUACUCAACCUCCUUGGACUGAGGGACAAAGCAACGUUAGCCCUGUCCUGGCCGGGUGAGCAACACCGAAGCUCCAGCUCCCGGAAGUGGGGCGGAAAAAUAAUCUGGAUCGGAUGCUCUAAUACAACAUCGCGUUACAUGUCCGUAACGCCCCAGUUUCAACUAACGUGGAUGUGCAACACAGUGGCAAUCACUGACAUUCUCUGGCGGGACCUAAAGACAAGCUAAAUUUGGACAAUUUGACAGAACAGUCUCCAGAUAAAACAGCUUCCAAUACCAAAGGUCAGAUUUGUAACAUUUACUUGGUUAGAGAUGAAAUUAUAACAAAAUGGUGCGAGCAACAUCUUUGGCAUCCUUUAACCUGCAAAAGUCAGACAGAAUUCAGUCUCUUGUAAAAGAUGACGUCGACAGAGAGUCAAUUUACUUCGGAGGAAUACACCGCUAUACCCUGAGGCUCCCUGCAAAUGUGGCAUGUGCAGACAUCUGGCAUGUGAUGGCAGACCUGUUGGAUGGGACAACACAACAACAUCUGGAGAGGAGAGGAGUUCUCAACUGGCACCCUGCUUUAGGAAGACUGGUGGUGAUGAAUAUGUCAGGAAAUGGGAACUGUCUGCUACAUGCCAUCUCUACCUAUAUGUGGGGGGUCCAGGACAGUAGCCAGACACUGCAAAAUCUACUUUGCCGGGCCCUGACUGAGCCGACAACAAGCAGAACUCUGAGGAAGCGUUUCAUGAUGGGAAUGGAAAAUGCAAGAUGCC